AAUCAAAGGAUUCAAGCACCAAAUCACAGAAUGCUGAUCCAAGGAAAGAAGGAAGGAAAGGAAAACAAAGAUUCAGAAUAGGUUGAAGUCUAUUUAAAUUCUGUUCUUCUCUUUUCACUUUUCUUUCGAUGAAAGCUAUUAGACUUUGCCUUGGAUGUUCAAUCCACUUAUGUUUGCUGAGUUUACUUAACUUCACUCAGAUAAGAUGGAGGUGAAGGCAACUUAACUAAGUAAGAAUAGAGUGAAAAAUAAGAAUUAUCUGAUGGUCGGCAGCGUCUCAUAUUUAAAUAUUCUUCCUUGUACGGGACUGUCUUUAUUGAUGGAAAAAUUGCGUAAUUUUUGUUCAGCCAAGAACAUUGACACGAUCAUACAGUGGGUCUGUCCAGUUUUCACAAGCUGCUAAGCUCCUGAAGUAACGUUAUAACGUCGAAUCUUUGAUGAAAAGUGGAAGCGAUCAUCCCAUUUUUCCCCGUUCUUCCGCUUGUCGUUCGUUCAUGAAGGCAACCACUUGAGGAGAUUUGGUUGACCCCACGUUUCCAUUCAAUAUAUCGGAAGUAUCACCUAGUAGCAUUUGUACCUCACACUACAACUUGAAAUGCCACUAACCCUAUAUGUUUGAAUUAAUCCGACUUCGCAACUGCCUGUGUCUUGUGCCUCGCACAUAGACUGAUGUCAAGGAUAAAAAUUAUCAGACGAAAUUUUUAUCUGAUAGCUAGUUACUUUAUUGAGCACGCUAACCUUACAUACGUCAAAUGUUAUUUUACCUACGAAAUGAAAUAAUAUGUCUAUUGCAUAGAGAACAUUGUAUUCAUGAAGAGUCUAUACUAUUCUUAUUGUUCUUCUAAUACUUAACUUACUUUUUGUGGCCCAUGCACUAUUUUUUCCAACUGUAACUAUGACUGCAAUUUUCGUGACUGUGCGCCGAUCACACGGCGGGGGUACAGUGUAGUAUAGGGUUAUAGGAUAAAACUGACAGUGUGUAACAAAAACAGAAAUGUCACCAGGUUUUACUAUAGCUACUUAGUAAGCCCAAGCCAAAGAAGCACGGGUACUGACCCGAUACUUUCAUCUCUUGAUCGAGUGUAUAAGGGAACACUUGGGGAGCAAAGACCCAUUUUGGAACUUGUUGAUUUCCUGAUGAUUCCUAAUUUUUCUAAUAAUAUGUUUCUUUAUUAAACAGAUCAACUAUCGUACACACCCUGACGCUUGUCCUUGGAUUACGGGAAUACUCAGCUCAAAAAAUAACAAAAUAAUGCGACGGAAGGAGAGCACAGUGUGAGAUCUGAUAGCACAAACUGGUAAAAGUCGGUUUAUCAAUUUGACCUGUACUACCCAUCGCAUGAUCUUAAAUUACGCCUUUUCAUGCACAAAAAUGGAAAAUCUUUCAAGAAAGGAAAAUUUACUCUAACAGACGAUAUUGUCUCACUAUCCCAUGUUUGUAUUAUGUGCAGACUAAUUAACUUAACGUUCUUUUUAAACUACGUUAUACUUGCUUAUAGGAGACAACGUGCUUAACUGAAAUGUUAACAGUUGCAUACUUAGACUUAUCUUGGAUAGUGAGUUUGGCCCCUUUACCCUAUAUGCCAAAAGAUGACCCAGGGGGUUAAUAUUAAGGCCUAAAAGGUAGGAGGAAGCAAGAAAUGGUAAAAUGGCACGUGCCAAGCCAAACAAGAAGAGAUGAUAGACACGCAGCUAAAGAACAUAGCAAGCUUAAAGAACAAAUAACAAAGCAUUUUGGUUGGGAAAUUGAUCAGUUGAAGAAAGUUAUUAAAGUUAAUGAUUAUUAUAGAUUU
rnacentral:lncRNA from 1 species